rnacentral:rRNA from 1 species
UACGGGGGGGGGCAAGCGUUGUUCGGAAUUAUUGGGCGUAAAGCGCGUGUAGGCGGCUUUGCAAGUCGGGUGUGAAAUCCCUCAGCUUAACUGAGGAAGUGCGCCCGAAACUGCAGAGCUUGAGUACCGGAGAGGGUGGCGGAAUUCCCCAAGUAGAGGUGAAAUGCGUAGAUAUCUGGAGGAACACCGGUGGCGAAGGCGGCAUCCUGGACCGAUACUGACGCUGAGGAGCGAAAGCCAGGGGAGCAAAGCGGG